rnacentral:rRNA from 1 species
GGGUUGUGAGGUUAAGCGACUAAGCGUACACGGUGGAUGCCCCGGCAGUCAGAGGCGAUGAAGGACGUGCUAAUCUGCGAUAAGCGCCGGUAAGGUGAUAUGAACCGUUAUAACCGGCGAUUUCCGAAUGGGGAAACCCAGUGUGAUUCGUCACACUAUCAUUAACUGAAUCCAUAGGUUAAUGAGGCGAACCGGGGGAACUGAAACAUCUAAGUACCCCGAGGAAAAGAAAUCAACCGAGAUUCCCCCAGUAGCGGCGAGCGAACGGGGAGGAGCCCAGAGCCUGAAUCAGCAUGUGUGUUAGUGGAAGCGUCUGGAAAGGCGCGCGAUACAGGGUGACAGCCCCGUACACAAAAGCGCAUGUGCUGUGAGCUCGAUGAGUAGGGCGGGACACGUGGUAUCCUGUCUGAAUAUGGGGGGACCAUCCUCCAAGGCUAAAUACUCCUGACUGACCGAUAGUGAACCAGUACCGUGAGGGAAAGGCGAAAAGAACCCCGGCGAGGGGAGUGAAAAAGAACCUGAAACCGUGUACGUACAAGCAGUGGGAGCACCCUUCGGGGUGUGACUGCGUACCUUUUGUAUAAUGGGUCAGCGACUUAUAUUCUGUAGCAAGGUUAACCGUAUAGGGGAGCCGGAGGGAAACCGAGUCUUAACCGGGCGUUAAGUUGCAGGGUAUAGACCCGAAACCCGGUGAUCUAGCCAUGGGCAGGUUGAAGGUUGGGUAACACUAACUGGAGGACCGAACCGACUAAUGUUGAAAAAUUAGCGGAUGACCUGUGGCUGGGGGUGAAAGGCCAAUCAAACCGGGAGAUAGCUGGUUCUCCCCGAAAGCUAUUUAGGUAGCGCCUCGUGAAUUCAUCUCCGGGGGUAGAGCACUGUUUCGGCUAGGGGGCCAUCCCGGCUUACCAACCCGAUGCAAACUGCGAAUACCGGAGAAUGUUAUCACGGGAGACACACGGCGGGUGCUAACGUCCGUCGUGAAGAGGGAAACAACCCAGACCGCCAGCUAAGGUCCCAAAGUCAUGGUUAAGUGGGAAACGAUGUGGGAAGGCCCAGACAGCCAGGAUGUUGGCUUAGAAGCAGCCAUCAUUUAAAGAAAGCGUAAUAGCUCACUGGUCGAGUCGGCCUGCGCGGAAGAUGUAACGGGGCUAAACCAUGCACCGAAGCUGCGGCAGCGAACGUAUCACCCAAGACAACUUUACGGAGUUGACGAUUGACGGAGCGAAGCGACGUCAAAGCGUUCAUUAAAGUCGAGUUGGCUUAGGGAUACGUUCGUUGGGUAGGGGAGCGUUCUGUAAGCCUGUGAAGGUGUGUCGUGAGGCAUGCUGGAGGUAUCAGAAGUGCGAAUGCUGACAUAAGUAACGAUAAAGCGGGUGAAAAGCCCGCUCGCCGGAAGACCAAGGGUUCCUGUCCAACGUUAAUCGGGGCAGGGUGAGUCGACCCCUAAGGCGAGGCCGAAAGGCGUAGUCGAUGGGAAACGGGUUAAUAUUCCCGUACUUGGUGUUACUGCGAAGGGGGGACGGAGAAGGCUAUGUUGGCCGGGCGACGGUUGUCCCGGUUUAAGCGUGUAGGUGUGUGUUCCAGGUAAAUCCGGUUCACUUUAACACUGAGGCGUGACGACGAGGCACUACGGUGCUGAAGCAACAAAUGCCCUGCUUCCAGGAAAAGCCUCUAAGCAUCAGGUAACAUCAAAUCGUACCCCAAACCGACACAGGUGGUCAGGUAGAGAAUACCAAGGCGCUUGAGAGAACUCGGGUGAAGGAACUAGGCAAAAUGGUGCCGUAACUUCGGGAGAAGGCACGCUGACACGUAGGUGAAGUGAUUUACUCAUGGAGCUGAAGUCAGUCGAAGAUACCAGCUGGCUGCAACUGUUUAUUAAAAACACAGCACUGUGCAAACACGAAAGUGGACGUAUACGGUGUGACGCCUGCCCGGUGCCGGAAGGUUAAUUGAUGGGGUCAGCGCAAGCGAAGCUCCUGAUCGAAGCCCCGGUAAACGGCGGCCGUAACUAUAACGGUCCUAAGGUAGCGAAAUUCCUUGUCGGGUAAGUUCCGACCUGCACGAAUGGCGUAAUGAUGGCCAGGCUGUCUCCACCCGAGACUCAGUGAAAUUGAACUCGCUGUGAAGAUGCAGUGUACCCGCGGCAAGACGGAAAGACCCCGUGAACCUUUACUAUAGCUUGACACUGAACAUUGAGCCUUGAUGUGUAGGAUAGGUGGGAGGCUUUGAAGUGUGGACGCCAGUCUGCAUGGAGCCGACCUUGAAAUACCACCCUUUAAUGUUUGAUGUUCUAACGUGGACCCGUAAUCCGGGUUGCGGACAGUGUCUGGUGGGUAGUUUGACUGGGGCGGUCUCCUCCUAAAGAGUAACGGAGGAGCACGAAGGUUGGCUAAUCCUGGUCGGACAUCAGGAGGUUAGUGCAAUGGCAUAAGCCAGCUUGACUGCGAGCGUGACGGCGCGAGCAGGUGCGAAAGCAGGUCAUAGUGAUCCGGUGGUUCUGAAUGGAAGGGCCAUCGCUCAACGGAUAAAAGGUACUCCGGGGAUAACAGGCUGAUACCGCCCAAGAGUUCAUAUCGACGGCGGUGUUUGGCACCUCGAUGUCGGCUCAUCACAUCCUGGGGCUGAAGUAGGUCCCAAGGGUAUGGCUGUUCGCCAUUUAAAGUGGUACGCGAGCUGGGUUUAGAACGUCGUGAGACAGUUCGGUCCCUAUCUGCCGUGGGCGCUGGAGAACUGAGGGGGGCUGCUCCUAGUACGAGAGGACCGGAGUGGACGCAUCACUGGUGUUCGGGUUGUCAUGCCAAUGGCACUGCCCGGUAGCUAAAUGCGGAAGAGAUAAGUGCUGAAAGCAUCUAAGCACGAAACUUGCCCCGAGAUGAGUUCUCCCUGAGACUUUAGGUCUCCUGAAGGAACGUUGAAGACGACGACGUUGAUAGGCCGGGUGUGUAAGCGCAGCGAUGCGUUGAGCUAACCGGUACUAAUGAACCGUGAGGCUUAACCUUACAACGCCGAAG